rnacentral:rRNA from 1 species
GAUGAACGCUGGCGGCGUGCCUAAUACAUGCAAGUCGAGCGAACAGACGAGGAGCUUGCUCCUCUGACGUUAGCGGCGGACGGGUGAGUAACACGUGGAUAACCUACCUAUAAGACUGGGAUAACUUCGGGAAACCGGAGCUAAUACCGGAUAAUAUAUUGAACCGCAUGGUUCAAUAGUGAAAGACGGUUUUGCUGUCACUUAUAGAUGGAUCCGCGCCGCAUUAGCUAGUUGGUAAGGUAACGGCUUACCAAGGCAACGAUGCGUAGCCGACAUGAGAGGGUGAACGGGAACAGGGGGAAUGAGAGAAGGCCAAGACGCAUAUGGGAGGAAGGAGGGGGGAAGAUUGCAAAAUGGGUGGAAGAAAGAAGAAGAAAUGUAGCGUGCGGGAGAACGGAUUUCGGGUUGUAAACAGCGGUCGACUGUGAAGAAGCGGGAGUGACGGGAAUGGGUAAAGAAGAACCGGCUAACUACGUG